UGAAAUCACUUGUGUGUCACUCGUGAUGUCGUAAGGGAAAAUAAUGAUAGUACCUUACUAAUAGUGUCGUCAAAUGCUGGUGCCAGAAGACUCGGUAACACCAGUAACGCAAACGUUAAUCAUCAUAAACAGGCGUAAAGGGUUUGUAGGCUGCUUUAAUUAUUUAAAGCUAGAAUCAAAAAGAGGUUAAGACAUAUAAUACUUAGAGUUAGGGCUAAUAUCCUCAGAUACUAAGGGGAAUACUUAGGGCGAAAGCAAUUAACCAGUAAUGAUUGACGCUGAGAAACGAAGGUGAGGAAAGGAAAUAGGAUUAGAUACCCCGGUACCCCUCUCUGUCAACGAUGAAUGGUAGUCUUUAGUAAAAAUUUCUGGAGGCGUAGUUAACACGUUAACCAUUCCGCCUUGUGAGUACGAUUGCAAAAUUUUAGUCGGUCUCGAAGCAAACGAAGUGAAGCAUGUUAUUUAAUACGAUAACCCGCGUAAAACCUUACCAGUUCUUG
rnacentral:rRNA from 1 species